UAUUCACCCAUACUGACUGCACGAAGACAGUGACGGCAAAUCCCGACAGAAAGGCUAAAAAAAAAAAAAUUCACCCAGUGUGAAAUGGAAGUUCUUGUAGGGGAGGUUGAAGCAAGAAAAAAAUGUUGUUGGACACAGUGUGGGCAUUACAAAUGCCAAAAAGGCAUUAGUGGCAGCAUGUGGCGGACGCUGUGAAUGCUGCUGGCUCAGAAGGUCGGACCCUCUCAGAAAUAAAAAAAAGACGUGGUCCGACACAAAAGUGGAGGCCAAAAGGCACAUAGCCUUACACAGGCAAAGGGUUUGUGCCACGGGCGGGGGAAAGGGGACACCGGAGCUUGCCAGUGUUAUAGGGGAAUCCCUCCUGAGUGGAGUAGCGACGGAGGUGGAGGGGGACACGGACAUGCAAGACGCACGGGAUGAUGCAACCGCUGCGUGUUCCAGCGGGGUCGGUGGUGCUGAGCAGGAGCUGAUUGCGCCCAGCCCCAGUGUCUCCACUGCACCUCGUGCAUCACAACCCUCCAGCGGCUGUGUCCUCACAGAUGCAGUCCUCCAAACGCAAAGAGACACCAUCGACGCUAUUAACGAGGUUGCCAAGGAGUUGAUGUGGGACAAGCACGGCUUGGUUUCUGCGGGUGCUUCUCUGUAAAGCUGGGCCCACUACAGCACAGAGAUCCAAAAGAACAGAUCUUGAUAAUCGGAACCGGCUCAUAAGCCACUCCUCAUCAUUGGCCAGUAAAUCUUGCUGGUCUCUGAAAAUUCGCUCUCUCCGAAUUCUUCCAUUCAAAUAUUCCAACAGUGCCAAAGCAACCAUUGUGCGUCAUUGCGCAUUGUAAUUGCAUGCCUUUUUAUAACCAUCCAUUUGAUUGCCAAAGCUACCCAAUUGCGUAACACCUUCAAGUGUGGUAAUUACCCUGAUUGUAACUGACAAUGACAAGGCCAUUAUCACAUUGACAGUUCUGCGCAACGAACAUGUGAUAACAAUAUAUGAAACUGUACACUCGUAUGUGCCCGACUGAGGCAUCGAAAACGGCAUCAGUUUAAACAUAAUUUGUCUUACUGUUCACCUUAUUAUUUAUGAGAAUAAAUGUCAUAACAUGCAA